rnacentral:rRNA from 1 species
AUUGAACGCUGGCGGCAGGCUUAACACAUGCAAGUCGAACGAUGACUCUCUAGCUUGCUAGAUAUGAUUAGUGGCGGACGGGUGAGUAACAUUUAGGAAUCUGCCUAGUAGUGGGGGAUAGCUCGGGGAAACUCGAAUUAAUACCGCAUACGACCUACGGGUGAAAGGGGGCGCAAGCUCUUGCUAUUAGAUGAGCCUAAAUCAGAUUAGCUAGUUGGUGGGGUAAAGGCCCACCAAGGCGACGAUCUGUAACUGGUCUGAGAGGAUGAUCAGUCACACCGGAACUGAGACACGGUCCGGACUCCUACGGGAGGCAGCAGUGGGGAAUAUUGGACAAUGGGGGCAACCCUGAUCCAGCCAUGCCGCGUGUGUGAAGAAGGCCUUUUGGUUGUAAAGCACUUUAAGCAGGGAGGAGAGGCUAAUGGUUAAUACCCAUUAGAUUAGACGUUACCUGCAGAAUAAGCACCGGCUAACUCUGUGCCAGCAGCCGCGGUAAUACAGAGGGUGCGAGCGUUAAUCGGAAUUACUGGGCGUAAAGCGAGUGUAGGUGGCUCAUUAAGUCACAUGUGAAAUCCCCGGGCUUAACCUGGGAACUGCAUGUGAUACUGGUGGUGCUAGAAUAUGUGAGAGGGAAGUAGAAUUCCAGGUGUAGCGGUGAAAUGCGUAGAGAUCUGGAGGAAUACCGAUGGCGAAGGCAGCUUCCUGGCAUAAUAUUGACACUGAGAUUCGAAAGCGUGGGUAGCAAACAGGAUUAGAUACCCUGGUAGUCCACGCCGUAAACGAUGUCUACUAGCCGUUGGGGUCCUUGAGACUUUAGUGGCGCAGUUAACGCGAUAAGUAGACCGCCUGGGGAGUACGGCCGCAAGGUUAAAACUCAAAUGAAUUGACGGGGGCCCGCACAAGCGGUGGAGCAUGUGGUUUAAUUCGAUGCAACGCGAAGAACCUUACCUGGUCUUGACAUAGUGAGAAUCCUGCAGAGAUGCGGGAGUGCCUUCGGGAAUUCACAUACAGGUGCUGCAUGGCUGUCGUCAGCUCGUGUCGUGAGAUGUUGGGUUAAGUCCCGCAACGAGCGCAACCCUUUUCCUUAUUUGCCAGCGGGUUAAGCCGGGAACUUUAAGGAUACUGCCAGUGACAAACUGGAGGAAGGCGGGGACGACGUCAAGUCAUCAUGGCCCUUACGACCAGGGCUACACACGUGCUACAAUGGUAGGUACAGAGGGUUGCUACACAGCGAUGUGAUGCUAAUCUCAAAAAGCCUAUCGUAGUCCGGAUUGGAGUCUGCAACUCGACUCCAUGAAGUCGGAAUCGCUAGUAAUCGCAGAUCAGAAUGCUGCGGUGAAUACGUUCCCGGGCCU